UACGGAGGGUGCGAGCGUUGUCCGGAUUUAUUGGGCGUAAAGAGCUCGUAGGCGGUUCGUCGCGUCGGCUGUGAAAACCUGAGGCUCAACCUCAGGCCUGCAGUCGAUACGGGCGGACUUGAGUACUGCAGGGGAGACUGGAAUUCCUGGUGUAGCGGUGAAAUGCGCAGAUAUCAGGAGGAACACCGGUGGCGAAGGCGGGUCUCUGGGCAGUAACUGACGCUGAGGAGCGAAAGCGUGGGGAGCGAACAGG
rnacentral:rRNA from 1 species